rnacentral:tRNA from 1 species
UAGGGUAUGGCCAAGCGGUUUAAAGGCACAGGGUUUUGACCCCUGCAUCACUGGUUCGAAUCCAGUUACCCUAG